CGAACGGCAGCACAGGGAGCUUGCUCCCGGGUGGCGAGUGGCGCACGGGUGAGUAAUACAUCGGAACGUGUCCUGUUGUGGGGGAUAACUGCUCGAAAGGGUGGCUAAUACCGCAUGAGACCUGAGGGUGAAAGCGGGGGAUCGCAAGACCUCGCGCAAUUGGAGCGGCCGAUGCCCGAUUAGCUAGUUGGUGAGGUAAAGGCUCACCAAGGCGACGAUCGGUAGCUGGUCUGAGAGGACGACCAGCCACACUGGGACUGAGACACGGCCCAGACUCCUACGGGAGGCAGCAGUGGGGAAUUUUGGACAAUGGGGGCAACCCUGAUCCAGCCAUGCCGCGUGCAGGAUGAAGGCCUUCGGGUUGUAAACUGCUUUUGUCAGGGACGAAAAGGACCGUGUUAAUACCAUGGUCUGCUGACGGUACCUGAAGAAUAAGCACCGGCUAACUACGUGCCAGCAGCCGCGGUAAUACGUAGGGUGCAAGCGUUAAUCGGAAUUACUGGGCGUAAAGCGUGCGCAGGCGGUUCUGUAAGACAGAUGUGAAAUCCCCGGGCUCAACCUGGGAAUUGCAUUUGUGACUGCAGGACUAGAGUUCAUCAGAGGGGGGUGGAAUUCCAAGUGUAGCAGUGAAAUGCGUAGAUAUUUGGAAGAACACCAAUGGCGAAGGCAGCCCCCUGGGAUGUGACUGA
rnacentral:rRNA from 1 species